AAGUCUCAGUUCGGAUUGCAGGCUGAAAUUCGCCUGCAUGAAGCCGGAAUUGCUAGUAAUGGCAGGUCAGCAUACUGCCGUGAAUACGUUCCCGGGCCUUGUACACACCGCCCGUCACACCAUGAGAGUUGGGAAUACCCGAAGCCUGUGAACUAACUGUAAAGAGGCAGCAGUCGAAGGUAGAAUCAAUGAUUGGGGUGAAGUCGUAACAAGGUACC
rnacentral:rRNA from 1 species